UACGUAGGGUGCGAGCGUUGUCCGGAAUUAUUGGGCGUAAAGGGCUCGUAGGCGGUUUGUCGCGUCGGGAGUGAAAACCAGGUGCUUAACACCUGGCUUGCUUUCGAUACGGGCAGACUAGAGGUAUUCAGGGGAGAACGGAAUUCCUGGUGUAGCGGUGAAAUGCGCAGAUAUCAGGAGGAACACCAGAGGCGAAGGCGGCCUACUGGGUCAGUACUGACGCUGAGCCGCGAAAGCCAGGGGAGCGAACGGG
rnacentral:rRNA from 1 species